rnacentral:rRNA from 1 species
GUGGGGAAUAUUGGACAAUGGGGGGAACCCUGAUCCAGCCAUGCCGCGUGUGUGAAGAAGGCCUUUUGGUUGUAAAGCACUUUAAGCGAGGAGGAGGCUACCGAGAUUAAUACUCUUGGAUAGUGGACGUUACUCGCAGAAUAAGCACCGGCUAACUCUGUGCCAGCAGCCGCGGUAAUACAGAGGGUGCAAGCGUUAAUCGGAUUUACUGGGCGUAAAGCGCGCGUAGGUGGCCAAUUAAGUCAAAUGUGAAAUCCCCGAGCUUAACUUGGGAAUUGCAGUAGGAACUGGUUGGCUAGAGUAUGGGAGAGGAUGGUAGAAUUCCAGGUGUAGCGGUGAAAUGCGUAGAGAUCUGGAGGAAUACAGAUGGCGAAGGCAGCCAUCUGGCCUAAUACUGACACUGAGGUGCGAAAGCAUGGGGAGCAAACAGGAUUAGAAACCCGAGUAGUCC